AUCUUUAUUAACUAUUUAAUAAUAAUAUAACCGUUAAAGUAUAAAUAUUUUUAUACUUUAUUCAAUGAUUGUAGUGGGGGAAUCAGUUCACAAAUGCUACAGUUUACCUGCGUUGUAACUCGGUGUAUUGUAUAAGUCAGUCAGUGUUUCGUGUGCGACUGAGAUAGUUCUAGUAGACAGAGAGGAAAAACACAUUCGCGACAGUCGCAUUUCGACAGUUCUCUUUAUUUACGUUUUUUGUGAUUAACUCGUGAGUUGUAAAAAUGAUACUAUCAUUUGAAGUAAUUGCUACAUUCGGUAUAUCGGCGUUGGUGUCGUUCAGUGUGUUCAGCGUUCUACUUCUCGCUGUAGUCAGUAAGAGCGGCUUACUCCAAGUGAAAAGGAACAAACAAGUGCUAACCAAACAAUUCCUUAGCGAACAUUUGCUACGACCUCAAGAUAUGCCAACAGCGACUGCCCCAGAAAUUACACCGUCAUUCGCACGACGAUUGUUAUUACCGCAAGCUUCGU